rnacentral:rRNA from 1 species
GACGAACGCUGGCGGCGCGCUUAACACAUGCAAGUCGAGCGAAGCGGCGGACGGGUGAGUAACCCGUGAGUAACCUGCCUUAGACAUUGGGAUAGCCUCGGGAAACCGGGAUUAAUCCCACAUGGUCUAAGAUGGACUCGCGUCCCAUUAGAGAGUUGGUGAGGUAACGGCCCACCAAGGCGACGAUGGGUAGCCGGCAGGAGAGGGUGAACGGCGACAUUGGAACGGCGAAACGGUCCAAACUCUACGGGAGGCAGCAGUGGGGAAGAUGGAACAAUGGCGGGAACUCUGAUGCAGCGACGCCGGGUGAACGAAGAAGGCUUUGGAGUCGUAAAGUUCUUUUAUAUGGGAAGCGGUACCAUAAGAAAAAGCCCCGGCUAACUACGUGCCAGCAGCCGCGGUAAUAC